AUUGAACGCUGGCGGAAUGCCUUACACAUGCAAGUCGAACGGCAGCACGGACUUCGGUCUGGUGGCGAGUGGCGAACGGGUGAGUAAUGUAUCGGAACGUGCCCAGUCGUGGGGGAUAACGUAGUGAAAAUUACGCUAAUACCGCAUACGAUCUAUGGAUGAAAGCGGGGGAUCGCAAGACCUCGCGCGAUUGGAGCGGCCGAUAUCAGAUUAGGUAGUUGGUGGGGUAAAGGCCCACCAAGCCAACGAUCUGUAGCUGGUCUGAGAGGACGACCAGCCACACUGGAACUGGGAAACGGUCCAGACUCUACGGGAGGCAGCAGUGGGGAAGUUUGGACAAUGGGCGAAAGCCUGAUCCAGCCAUUCCGCGUGCAGGAUGAAGGCCCUCGGGUUGUAAACUGCUUAUGUACAGAACGAAAAGGUUUCUACUAAUACUAGGAGCUCAUGACGGUACUGUAAGAAUAAGCACCGGCUAACUACGUGCCAGCCGCCGCCGUAA
rnacentral:rRNA from 1 species